rnacentral:rRNA from 1 species
CACGUGGGUAACCUACCUAUAAGACUGGGAUAACUUCGGGAAACCGGAGCUAAUACCGGAUAAUAUUUCGAACCGCAUGGUUCGAUAGUGAAAGAUGGCUCUGCUAUCACUUAUAGAUGGACCUGCGCCGUAUUAGCUAGUUGGUAAGGUAACGGCUUACCAAGGCAACGAUACGUAGCCGACCUGAGAGGGUGAUCGGCCACACUGGAACUGAGACACGGUCCAGACUCCUACGGGAGGCAGCAGUAGGGAAUCUUCCGCAAUGGGCGAAAGCCUGACGGAGCAACGCCGCGUGAGUGAUGAAGGUCUUCGGAUCGUAAAACUCUGUUAUUAGGGAAGAACAAACGUGUAAGUAACUGUGCACGUCUUGACGGUACCUAAUCAGAAAGCCACGGCUAACUACGUGCCAGCAGCCGCGGUAAUACGUAGGUGGCAAGCGUUAUCCGGAAUUAUUGGGCGUAAAGCGCGCGUAGGCGGUUUUUUAAGUCUGAUGUGAAAGCCCACGGCUCAACCGUGGAGGGUCAUUGGAAACUGGAAAACUUGAGUGCAGAAGAGGAAAGUGGAAUUCCAUGUGUAGCGGUGAAAUGCGCAGAGAUAUGGAGGAACACCAGUGGCGAAGGCGACUUUCUGGUCUGUAACUGACGCUGAUGUGCGAAAGCGUGGGGAUCAAACAGGAUUAGAUACCCUGGUAGUCCACGCCGUAAACG